UUUGCAGACCGUAAACCUCCAAACUGUUAAUGCCUCAUCGGUGAAUGAGACAACACCAGGUGCAUCACCAGCAGACAUAUCAAAGAGCAGUUCACAGACACCUAAUUAUUAUGAGAUAAUGGAAUUUGAUCCUUUAGCGCCAAGCUACAGCACAGAAGCUAUUUAUGAAGAAAUUGAUGAUUAUAUGUCCAAACCAGAAGUUAAAAAGCAUACAGAUUGCUAAGAGUGAAAGUUUUUAAUCCUAUAAGAAGAAAUAUAUCUGCAGUGAUGGAAGAAGAGCA
rnacentral:lncRNA from 1 species